AUGAUAGACGUGAGAAGUGCAGCAUAUAUACUAAAACUGGAAGGAUACAGAGAAGAUUAGCAUGGCCCCUGCACACGGAUGACAUGUAAAUUCGUGAAGUGUUCCAUAUUUUU
ensembl:snRNA U6 U6 spliceosomal RNA